CUCUACUGCUUUUCAACAGUCAGCCUCUACCAAGAUAAAAGGAGGAGAGUUAACAGUAUUUCAGGAUGAAAACAACAUCUUAUGGAUGGACUCUGAUAAAGUGAUUGAGGAUGAAGGCGCUCACAUCAGUUCAUUUCCUUGCUCCACAAGAUCAUAUUCCAAAGAUUCCAGACUCCACAAGAUUAUACCCCAAACCUUAGACUUGUGACAUUUCUUCAGAUGCUUUCCUCCACAUUAAAUAUCUGUCUGAGACUUUAAAGCCUUUGUGCAGUUGUUAAUUUCUGAAAAAUCUGAUUCAGGCUCAGAGGUCAAAUAAGGAAUCACCUGUUUCUGCCUGGGAAAACCAGACCAUCAGUCACAGAACUGCAGCUACACUUCUCUUUGAGAGCUCUUGAGAUGAAUUCCCAUGGAUACUGUCAGGUGAACCCAUUACAAGCUUCUCACUGAAGGCAUCUUGCCCAUUGAAACAGCAUCACCUUGAUUAAAGAAGGAACAAAUGGACCGAUACCUCUGGGUAAUGAUUAUUUAUUACAGACGUGUGCACCCAUGUAGCUAAGUAUCUAAG
ensembl:lncRNA